rnacentral:rRNA from 1 species
UAGGGAAUCUUCGGCAAUGGGGGCAACCCUGACCGAGCAACGCCGCGUGAGUGAAGAAGGUUUUCGGAUCGUAAAGCUCUGUUGUAAGUCAAGAACGGGUGUGAGAGUGGAAAGUUCACACUGUGACGGUAGCUUACCAGAAAGGGACGGCUAACUACGUGCCAGCAGCCGCGGUAAUACGUAGGUCCCGAGCGUUGUCCGGAUUUAUUGGGCGUAAAGCGAGCGCAGGCGGUUUGAUAAGUCUGAAGUUAAAGGCUGUGGCUCAACCAUAGUUCGCUUUGGAAACUGUCAAACUUGAGUGCAGAAGGGGAGAGUGGAAUUCCAUGUGUAGCGGUGAAAUGCGUAGAUAUAUGGAGGAACACCGGUGGCGAAAGCGGCUCUCUGGUCUGUAACUGACGCUGAGGCUCGAAAGCGUGGGGAGCGAACAGGAUUAGAUACCCUGGUAGUCCACGCCGUAAACGAUGAGUGCUAGGUGUUGGAUCCUUUCCGGGAUUCAGUGCC